rnacentral:rRNA from 1 species
GAUGAACGCUGGCGGCGUGCUUAACACAUGCAAGUCGAACGGUGAAGGCGGAGCUUGCUCUGCUGGAUCAGUGGCGAACGGGUGAGUAACACGUGAGCAAUCUGCCCCUGACUCUGGGAUAAGCGCUGGAAACGGCGUCUAAUACUGGAUACGAGCUGCGAAGGCAUCUUCAGCAGCUGGAAAGAACUUCGGUCAGGGAUGAGCUCGCGGCCUAUCAGCUUGUUGGUGAGGUAACGGCUCACCAAGGCGUCGACGGGUAGCCGGCCUGAGAGGGUGACCGGCCACACUGGGACUGAGACACGGCCCAGACUCCUACGGGAGGCAGCAGUAGGGAAUAUUGCACAAUGGGCGAGAGCCUGAUGCAGCAACGCCGCGUGAGGGACGACGGCCUUCGGGUUGUAAACCUCUUUUAGCAGGGAAGAAGCGAAAGUGACGGUACCUGCAGAAAAAGCGCCGGCUAACUACGUG